ensembl:snoRNA small nucleolar RNA, C/D box 102
AGCUUGAUGAUGAUUGUCCCCUGUGAUUGCUUGCAAAAAACAAAGUGAUCGAAUCAUUUCACCGACGCUGAAAGCA